rnacentral:rRNA from 1 species
UGGGGAAUAUUGGACAAUGGGCGAAAGCCUGAUCCAGCCAUGCCGCGUGUGUGAAGAAGGUCUUCGGAUUGUAAAGCACUUUAAGUUGGGAGGAAGGGCAGUAAGCGAAUACCUUGCUGUUUUGACGUUACCGACAGAAUAAGCACCGGCUAACUCUGUGCCAGCAGCCGCGGUAAUACAGAGGGUGCAAGCGUUAAUCGGAAUUACUGGGCGUAAAGCGCGCGUAGGUGGUUCGUUAAGUUGAAUGUGAAAGCCCCGGGCUCAACCUGGGAACUGCAUCCAAAACUGGCGAGCUAGAGUAGGGCAGAGGGUGGUGGAAUUUCCUGUGUAGCGGUGAAAUGCGUAGAUAUAGGAAGGAACACCUGUGGCGAAGGCGACCACCUGGGCUCAUACUGACACUGAGGUGCGAAAGCGUGGGGAGCAAACAGG